GCGCGGUUAGCUCAGCGGAAGAGCACCUGCCUUACACGCAGGGGGUCGCAGGUUCGAAUCCCGCACCGCGCA
rnacentral:tRNA from 1 species